rnacentral:rRNA from 1 species
UACAGAGGGGGCAAGCGUUGUUCGGAAUUACUGGGCGUAAAGGGCGCGUAGGCGGCCUGUUAAGUCGAACGUGAAAUCCCCGGGCUCAACCCGGGAACUGCGUCCGAUACUGGCAGGCUUGAAUCCGGGAGAGGGAUGCGGAAUUCCAGGUGUAGCGGUGAAAUGCGUAGAUAUCUGGAGGAACACCGGUGGCGAAGGCGGCAUCCUGGACCGGCAUUGACGCUGAGGCGCGAAAGCGCGGGGAGCGAUCCGG